UCAAACUAAACAUUUACAUGACAUGACAGUAUUAAAAUGUGCCUCAUAUGUUAUAAGAAAAGCACAAAUAUUUUUUUGACAGACUUCUUAGGUCACCCUUACGUUGGUGUCUGUUGUUAAAAAUGAUUAUUAGAUAGUUUCAUUGCUGAGGCUUAUUUCUUUUAAUCAUUUACUAAGUAAAUUAUUAAUUCAUUUACUAAGUAAAAAUUAUUUCAAUAAAUUCAUUUUACUUAUAUUUAAUUUUAAUUUAGUUGUUAUGAAAACAAACUUUAUUUUUGGCUUCUAAAUAAAUAUCACACACAUUCUAACAACUAAAUAUUAUGUCAAAACUGGCUAUUUUGAAUCAGUGAAAUGAUUUUGCAACGAACCAGAAGUUAUGAAGUCUUUAACUUUAAAUUAAAUAUACAUUCACAAAAAAAUGA